GUCAGUGUGUGUCUGUAUGGGUCAGUAUGUGUGUCUGUAUGGGUCAGUGUGUCUGUAUGGGUCAGUGUGUCUGUCUGUAUGGGUCAUUGUGUGUUUUUGUAUGGGUCAUUGUGUGUGUCUGCAUGGGUCUGUGUGCGUCAGUCUACAUGGGUUAGUGCGUGUGUGUCAGUUUGCAUGUUCAGUGUGUGUCUACUUGGUUCAGUGUGUGUGUUAGUCUGCAUGAUUGGGUGAAGCUAAUGAGGCGGCAAAUUUGUUUUUCGCUUAGGGCGCCAAAAAUGCUUGCACUGGC